rnacentral:rRNA from 1 species
GGUGGGAUGACGUCAAAUCAUCAUGCCUUAUGAUCUGGGCUACACACGUGCUACAAUGGAUGGUACAGAGAGCAGCGAGGCCGCGAGGCGGAGCGAAUCUCAAAAGCCAUUCUCAGUUCGGAUUGCAGUCUGCAACUCGACUGCAUGAAGCCGGAGUUGCUAGUAAUCGCGAAUCAGCAUGUCGCGGUGAAUACGUUCCCGGGCCUU